CCUACGGGUGGCUGCAGUGAGGAAUAUUGGUCAAUGGGCGAGAGCCUGAACCAGCCAAGUCGCGUGAGGGAGUACUGCCCUAUGGGUUGUAAACCUCUUUUGUCGGGGAGCAAAAGCCGGGCGUGUCCGCCUGUGAGAGUACCCGAAGAAAAAACAUCGGCUAACUCCGUGCCAGCAGCCGCGGUAAUACGGGGGAUGCGAGCGUUAUCCGGAGUUAUUGGGUUUAAAGGGUGCGCAGGCGGAUUUUUAAGUCAGCGGUAAAAUCGUGGGGCUCAACCCCAUCCAGCCGUUGAAACUGGGGAUCUAGAGUGGGCGAGAGGUAUGCGGAAUGCGUGGUGUAGCGGUGAAAUGCAUAGAUAUCACGCAGAACCCCGAUUGCGAAGGCAGCAUACCGGUGCACAACUGACGCUCAGGCACGAAAGCGUGGGUAUCGAACAGGAUUAGAUACCCCUGUAGUC
rnacentral:rRNA from 1 species